rnacentral:rRNA from 1 species
AACGAACGCUGGCGGCAGGCUUAACACAUGCAAGUCGAGCGAGGACGUCGGGCCUAGCGGCGGACGGGGGAGGAACGCGGGGGAACGUGCCCGUGGCUACGGAAUAGCCCAGGGAAACAGGGCGUCAUACCGGAGGAGCCAAUAGGGGGAAAGAGUUAUCGGCGUAGGAUCGGCCCGCGUAGGCUUAGGCAGUUGGUGGGGUAAUGGCCGACCAAGACGACGAUGCAUAGCUGGUGUGGGAGGAUGCUCCGCUACACUGGGACUGAGACCCGGCCCAGACUCCUACGCGAGGCAGCAGUGGGUUAUCUUAGGCGAUGGGGCAUGCCCUGGUCUCGCCAUGCCGCGUGAGCGAUGCAUGCCUUAGGGUUGUAAAGCCCUUUCAGCUGGGAAGAUAGUGACGGUACCGGCUGAAGAAGCCCCGGCUAACUCCGUG